CCUUGAAUAUUGGACAAUGGGCGCAAGCCUGAUCCAGCCAUGCCGCGUGUGUGAAGAAGGCCUUCGGGUUGUAAAGCACUUUUGUUCGGGAAGAAAUCGUGCGGAUUAAUACUUCGUACGGAUGACGGUACCGAAAGAAUAAGCACCGGCUAACUUCGUGCCAGCAGCCGCGGUAAUACGAAGGGUGCAAGCGUUACUCGGAAUCACUGGGCGUAAAGCGUGCGUAGGCGGUUCGUUAAGUCUGCUGUGAAAGCCCUGGGCUCAACCUGGGAACUGCAGUGGAUACUGGCGGACUAGAGUGUGAUAGAGGAUGGUGGAAUUCCCGGUGUAGCGGUGAAAUGCGUAGAGAUCGGGAGGAACACCAGUGGCGAAGGCGGCCAUCUGGAUCAACACUGACGCUGAGGCACGAAAGCGUGGGGAGCAAACAGGAUUAGAUACCCUGGUAGUCCACGCCCUAAACGAUGUGAACUGGACGUUGGUUGCAACUUGGCAAUCAGUGUCGAAGCUAACGCGUUAAGUUCCCCGCCUGGGGAGUACGGUCGCAAGACUGAAACUCAAAGGAAUUGACGGGGGCCCGCACAAGCGGUGGAGUAUGUGGUUUAAUUCGAUGCAACGCGAAGAACCUUACCUGGCCUUGACAUCCAGUGAACUCUCCAGAGAUGGACUGGUGCCUUCGGGAACACUGAGACAGGUGCUGCAUGGCUGUCGUCAGCUCGUGUCGUUAGAUGUUGGGUUAAGUCCCGCAACGAGCGCAACCCUUGUCCUUAGUUGCCAGCACGUAAUGGUGGGAACUCUAAGGAGACUGCCGGUGACAAACCGGAGGAAGGUGGGAAUGACGUCAAGUCAUCAUGGCCCUUACGGCCAGGGCUACACACGUACUACAAUGGUCGGUACAGAGGGUUGCAAUGCCGCGAGGUGGAGCCAAUCCCAGAAAACCGAUCCCAGUCCGGAUCGGAGUCUGCAACUCGACUCCGUGAAGUCGGAAUCGCUAGUAAUCGCGGAUCAGCUAUGCCGCGGUGAAUACGUUCCCGGGCCUUGUACACACCGCCCGUCACACCAUGGGAGUUGGUUGCUCCAGAAGUAGGUAGUCUAACCGCAAGGAGGACGCUUACCACGGAGUGGUCAAUGACUGGGGUGAAGUCGUAACAAGGUAGCCGUAUCGGAAGGUGCGGCUG
rnacentral:rRNA from 1 species